GAGCGAGCGCAAGUUAUUCUUGAUAAGAGACUGAGCGGCGGACGGGUGAGUAACGCGUGGGUACCUGCCUCAUACAGGGGGAUAACAGUUAGAAAUGGCUGCUAAUACCGCAUAAGACUGCAUGGUAAAAACUCCGGCGGUAUGAGAUGGACCCGCGUCUGAUUAGGUAGUUGGUGAGGUAACGGCCCACCAAGCCGACGAUCAGUAGCCGACCUGAAGGGUGACCGGCCACAUUGGGACUGAGACACGGCCCAGACUCCUACGGGAGGCAGCAGUGGGGAAUAUUGCACAAUGGGCGAAAGCCUGAUGCAGCGACGCCGCGUGAAGGAUGAAGUAUUUCGGUAUGUAAACUUCUAUCAGCAGGGAAGAAAAUGACGGUACCUGACUAAGAAGCCCCGGCUAACUACGUGCCAGCAGCCGCGGUAAUACGUAGGGGGCAAGCGUUAUCCGGAUUUACUGGGUGUAAAGGGAGCGUAGACGGCUGUGCAAGUCUGAAGUGAAAGGCAUGGGCUCAACCUGUGGACUGCUUUGGAAACUGUGCAGCUAGAGUGUCGGAGAGGUAAGUGGAAUUCCUAGUGUAGCGGUGAAAUGCGUAGAUAUUAGGAGGA
rnacentral:rRNA from 1 species